UACAGAGGUGGCAAGCGUUGUUCGGAUUUAUUGGGCGUAAAGGGUCCGUAGGCGGUUUGGAAAGUCGGAUGUGAAAUCCCACAGCUCAACUGUGGAACUGCAUUCGAAACUUCCAGACUGGAGUGUGAGAGGGGUAAAGGGAAUUCCCGGUGUAAGGGUGAAAUCUGCAGAGAUCGGGAAGAACACCAGUCGCGAAGGCGCUUUACUGGCUCACAACUGACGCUGAGGGACGAAAGCUAGGGGAGCAAACGGG
rnacentral:rRNA from 1 species